GACGAACGCUGGCGGCGUGCUUAACACAUGCAAGUCGAACGGAAAGGCCCUGCUUUUGUGGGGUGCUCGAGUGGCGAACGGGUGAGUACACGGUAGUAAACCUCCCUUGACCUUUGGAUAACUUUAGGAAACCGGGGCUAAUACCGGAUAGGAACCCCUGCCGCCUGGGUGGGGGUGGAAAGUUUCGGCGGUUGGGGAUGGACUCGCGGCUUAUCAGCUUGUUGGUGGGGUAGUGGCUUACCAAGGCUUUGACGGGUAGCCGGCCUGAGAGGGUGACCGGCCACAUUGGGACUGAGAUACGGCCCAGACUCCUACGGGAGGCAGCAGUGGGGAAUAUUGCACAAUGGGCGGAAGCCUGAUGCAGCAACGCCGCGUGCGGGAUGACGGCCUUCGGGUUGUAAACCGCUUUCGCCUGUGACGAAGCGUGAGUGACGGUAAUGGGUAAAGAAGCACCGGCUAACUACGUG
rnacentral:rRNA from 1 species